rnacentral:lncRNA from 1 species
GGCACUUGAUCCAAAGAGAGCCUCUGAAAUGGCUGCACCCGAUAUCUCAGCAGGUUACCCCAUAGAGUGUUGAGUGGGCAACUCAAUUAUUCCCUCACCUGAAGAAGUCUGAAAGCAAGACGAAGAGAGUCCUUUUGCAAGAGUGAUGUACAAAGCCCUACGGACAUACAGACUUCGUGUGCAAGUCCUGUGGAGGAGAGGAGAUGAGAGAGCAAUCGGUUGGUGGCAUCUGGGGACAUUAAACAGUGACGUGGACACAGUGAUGGCCUGCAGUGGUGAACCAGUGAGGGAACAAGUCCUAUGGUUGGGGAGCUACCUGAGGCUGGAGAGCAGAGUACAGCCAGGCCCACAGUGGUGCAGCAUACCAGAGUCAAGGUCUCACUAGGAUGUCCAGGCUGGCCUCGAACUCCUGGGCUCAAGCAAUCCACCUGCCUUGGCCUCUGAAAGUGCAGGAAUUACAGCUGCUGUGCCCUGAGGGGUGAGGGAAAUGUGGUCGCCUAAAACACCAUCAAAGGUUGCUGCUUAAACACUUCCCUCAGCCAUAUAUGAAGGCUAAAUCAGAUAAAGAUCCCAGGAAGUGUGCAACAGGCACAAGAUUCAAAGGAAGCAGGCUGCUUUCUUGCAGCAAGACAAGGCAAGUUGGAAGAGAGGAUUAUUUUUCUUCUUCAAAGCUCUCACCCUCAGGAGGAUUCCUAUCAACUACUUUGGGAAAGAGUUUUUGAUUUGUGCUGGAUUGUUGCUGAGCAUUAAGGACAUCCUACCAAAGUCCAGGAAACUGCUAAUUAAUCCUGCAGGAGACUGCAAAGACACACUUGCCAUUCAUCCAGCAAGUGCUAUUUAAAAGCCUGUUGUGAGCAUCUGAGUGCAUUUGGGCUAAAGAGCUCAUGGACUAGACGCAACAGGAGCUAUACAGACUACCAGUGCACCACCAGCGUGCACCAGAAUGCAUGUCCCAGCAAACAACUCUCAAUUGGCCAAUUUGCAACAGGGCACCCUUUAGCCUCUUUGGCCCUGGUCAUUUCCUUCCCACCCUGCCCUUUUGGAGGCAUCAACAUUGAGCUCAAAACAUGUUCAGUGCAUUCUU